rnacentral:rRNA from 1 species
ACGCUCGACACCUACGGCAGGCAGCAGUGGGGAAUAUUGCACAAUGGGGGAAGCCCUGAUGCAGCGACGCCGCGUGGAGGAAGAAGGUCUUCGGAUUGUAAACUCCUGUUGUUGGGGAAAAAGAGGAUGGUACCCAACAAGGAAGUGACGGCUAACUACGUGCCAGCAGCCGCGGUAAUCUGAGGCGGGCUGGCAAGGC